rnacentral:rRNA from 1 species
GAUGAACGCUGGCGGCGUGCCUAAUACAUGCAAGUCGAGCGAACAGACGAGGAGCUUGCUCCUCUGACGUUAGCGGCGGACGGGUGAGUAACACGUGGAUAACCUACCUAUAAGACUGGGAUAACUUCGGGAAACCGGAGCUAAUACCGGAUAACAUGUUGAACCGCAUGGUUCAACAGUGGAAGACGGUCUUGCUGUCACUUAUAGAUUGAUCCGCGCCGCAUUAGCUAGUUGGUAAGGUAACGGCUUACCAAGGCAACGAUGCGUAGCCGACCUGAGAGGGUGAUCGGCCACACUGGAACUGAGACACGGUCCAGACUCCUACGGGAGGCAGCAGUAGGGAAUCUUCCGCAAUGGGCGAAAGCCUGACGGAGCAACGCCGCGUGAGUGAAGAAGGUCUUCGGAUCGUAAAACUCUGUUAUUAGGGAAGAACAAAUGUGUAAGUAACUAUGCACGUCUUGACGGUACCUAAUCAGAAAGCCACGGCUAACUACGUG